GGGGAUGACAGGCUUCGACGGGGAAGGCUGGCCACGGAUGGCAAGCCGGGGCGCUCUGCCCCGUUAACAACGGAGCACAAAUUCCAAAGUGCCAAUAACACUUGGAUCCCUGUCCCACAGGCCGCAAUGGCCGCCGUUCCAAUGGUAGCCUAGUCUGGCCUGGGGACAAAAUGACCGCAAGACGGUCACGUCCGCCCCGUCCUCUCGCCGGUGGGUCGGGGGCCGGGCGUAAAACAGUCGGCGUGCGGCGCUCCAAUGCCGAUAGGAGUGCUUAAGCGGGAGUUUCGGCUCCCAUCGGCUAGGCCCGGGUGUAGCGCGGUCGGCGGCGACUCCCCGGGUGAGAGAUAAAAGGCCGACUACGCUUGUAGAAGUCCCUGAUCGAGUUCCUCGGACGCGGGUUCGAUUCCCGCCAUCUCCACCA
rnacentral:tmRNA from 1 species